rfam:Pan troglodytes isolate Yerkes chimp pedigree #C0471 (Clint) chromosome 10, whole genome shotgun sequence.
UGGGAGCAUCACUUGAGCCCAGGAGUUUGAGACCAGCCUGGGCAACAAAGUGAGACCUCAU